UGAGGAAUAUUGGUCACUGGACGAGAGUCUGAACCAGCCAAGUAGCGUGCAGGAUGACGGCCCUAUGGGUUGUAAACUGCUUUUAUAAGGGAAUAAAGUGAGAGUCGUGACUCUUUUUGCAUGUACCUUAUGAAUAAGGACCGGCUAAUUCCGUGCCAGCAGCCGCGGUAAUACGGAAGGUCCGGGCGUUAUCCGGAUUUAUUGGGUUUAAAGGGAGCGUAGGCCGGAGAUUAAGCGUGUUGUGAAAUGUAGAUGCUCAACAUCUGAACUGCAGCGCGAACUGGUUUCCUUGAGUACGCACAAAGUGGGCGGAAUUCGUGGUGUAGAGGUGAAAUGCUUAGAUAUCACGAAGAACUCCGAGUGCGAAGGCAGCUCACUGGAGCGCAACUGACGCUGAAGCUAGAAAGUGCGGGUCUAGAACA
rnacentral:rRNA from 1 species